CAACCCUCAAGCGCAGCUUGGUAUUGGGCUCCGCUGGUUCCAGCGGGCCUUAAAAUCAGUGGCGGCGCCUUCAGGCUCUGAGCGUAGUAAAUAUUCCUCGCUACGGAGCCCUGGACGGCGGUGGUCAUUAACCCCCAACUUUCUAA
rnacentral:misc_RNA from 1 species